rnacentral:rRNA from 1 species
AGGGAGAAUCGCUCAAAAGAACUGGCCCCAAAAGCUUCGAGUUUCCGGGACCGCCCACCGCCGCCACCACCGCCCUGCCGCCGAGGACGCCGGCGGCGGCUUCAGCCAGCCAACGCGUCGCCGUCGCCUUCGAUCUCCACCGCCCGCCCCCACCGCCCGUCUGCAAGGCCUGCAAUCUCUCCCCUCCACCCUCGUCCAAACCCUAGAGAGUUUUUGAUCGUGCAAAGCCCUAGCAAACUGUGUGUCACCUCUGGGUCCGCCCAGCCUGCUGUUUCUGGGCUCCAUGGUUGGGCAGACCUCCCGGAUGGCCUGCUCGAAUCCAUUAUUGCUCUGUCAGGAUCCUUCCGUGACCUUCUUGCCUUCGCUGCGACCUGCCACUCUUGGCCUGCUGCAUUCUCCUCAUACCCAUCCAAAUCUUCUUUCUGCACCAAAUUCCUACCUCUCCUUAUCCAAUUCAAUGCCUGUGUUCAAGCUCCUGAUCUCCCUUCUAGCAAUGGUCUUCAUGAGCUACACACAUUUAAGGUCAUUGAUCCGACCAAUAAGAAUGUCGCCCUUCGCUGCCAGAUUCCUCGAGACAUUUACCAUGAGAUGGAUUUCGUUGGCAAUUCCUAUGGUCAACUAAUUUUCCGCCAUGGUGAAUAUUGUCUUCUUGUUGAUGUGUUCAAUGGUGCUGAGGUUUCAGCUCCACCUCUCCCAUUCAAUCGCGAUUUCAGGGGGCUCAACUGCAGCGGCACUCUUACAGCUCCACUUGCAUCACCCAAUUCACACCUCCUUGUCAGCACCGUAAACACCCUGUUUGAUUGGCCAGUUGGAAGUGAAUCUUGGUCUGAACUGCAGCUUCAUAAUACAUGUAUAGUACAGAUUGUGGAAUUGAAAGGUCAGUUCAUCGCCAUGGAUGAUUGUUGUAAGAUCUACACUUUGCAGCUGUCCCCCGAGCUCGGUCUGCAAAAGAUGACAUGUGUGGAUUUGCCAAUCACAUUUGUGGAUUCAUGGCUAGUGGUCUGUGGUGACAUGCUUCUCAUGAUCACGAAGCAUCCAUCCUUUCCAAAAGUAAAAUAUAUACCCUACCAACUUGACCUGUCAACCAACCCUGCAAAAUGGGUUGAAGUAAAGCAGCUAAAUGAUUGGGCACUCUUUGUUGGAUGUGCUGUGAGGAGCCGGCCAUUUUCUUGCAUGAGCCUAGAAAGAUGGGGAGGGAGGAGCAAGUCGUUGUACUUCGCAGGCCAUCACUCUUUUGUUUUACAUGGAUUGGGUAUCGAGGGAGAUGUAAAGUUAGAGCACAAAAGAAACUGGUUAUGCAAGCUGCAGCCCCUCUGGGUGUACCCAAGGAUGUUCUACUCAGACAGCCAGUGA